ensembl:lncRNA
CUUCACAAGAAAAGUCCUAGCAGUCCCAACACCUUACCACUGCUACAACUGGCUAUCAGCGGAGCCUUGUCUGGCAGCGAAACAGUUCAUACAGCCUCUUUUACUGACUUAAAAAUAAUAAUAUGCUGCGUCACCGUCCUGUUCAAGUGAGCACAGCACAACAAGGCUGGAGUUCCGUGGUUGUCAUACGUGAAGAGCUUUGGCGGUCUGCGUUCACUGUUGCGGUCACUUUGAGCUGGUAACAGAGGAGCUGCAACUUCUUUGUCCACGGGUAAGUCCACUGUUUGUUCAACAGGUAAGUCCACUGUUUGUUCCACUUUGAUCUGAGUCUCUUCUGGCAGAGGCAUUGGGUUGUCCACAGAUGUGUCC